UAUAGUAUAGUUCAAUGGUAGAGUGAUUGCCUAGCAAGCACAAGGCCUUGAGUUCAUCCCCAACACUACAA
rnacentral:tRNA from 1 species